rnacentral:rRNA from 1 species
GAGUUUGAUUAUGGCUCAGGAUGAACGCUGGCGGCGUGCCUAACACAUGCAAGUCGAACGAAGCAUAUAGAAGGAAGUUUUCGGAUGGAAUUUUAUAUGACUUAGUGGCGGACGGGUGAGUAACGCGUGGAUAAUCUGCCUUACACAGCGGGAUAACAAGUGGAAACAGUUGCUAAUACCGCGUAAGCACACAGUAUCGCAUGAUACAGGGUGAAAAGAUUUAUCGGUGUAAGAUGAGUCCGCGUCCCAUUAGCUAGUUGGUGAGGUAAAAGCUUACCAAGGCGACGAUGGGUAGCCGGCCUGAGAGGGUGAACGGCCACAUUGGGACUGAGACACGGCCCAGACUCCUACGGGAGGCAGCAGUGGGGGAUAUUGCACAAUGGGCGAAAGCCUGAUGCAGCGACGCCGCGUGAAGGAUGAAGUAUUUCGGUAUGUAAACUUCUAUCAGCAGGGAAGAAAAUGA